rnacentral:rRNA from 1 species
UACGGAGGGUGCAAGCGUUAAUCGGAAUUACUGGGCGUAAAGCGCACGCAGGCGGUUGGAUAAGUUUGAUGUGAAAGCCCCGGGCUCAACCUUGGAAUUGAAUUUAAAACUGUCCAGCUAGAGUCUUGUAGAGGGGGGUAGAAUUCCAGGUGUAGCGGUGAAAUGCGUAGAGAUCUGGAGUAAUACCGGUGGCGAAGGCGGCCCCCUGGACAAAGACUGACGCUCAGGUGCGAAAGCGCGGGGAGCAAACAGG